rnacentral:rRNA from 1 species
GAAUAUUGGACAAUGGGCGAAAGCCUGAUCCAGCCAUGCCGCGUGGGUGAAGAAGGCCUUCGGGUUGUAAAGCCCUUUUGUUGGGGAAGAAAUCCUGCUGGCUAAUACCCGGCGGGGAUGACGGUACCCGCAGAACAAGCACCGGCUAACUUAGUGCCAGCAGCCGCGGUAAUACGAAGGGUGCACGCGUUACUCGGAAUUACUGGGCGUAGGGCGUGCGUAGGUGGUGGCUUAAGUCCGUUGUGAAAGCCCUGGGCUCAACCUGGGAAUUGCAGUGGAUACGGGGUCACUAGAGUGUGGUAGAGGGGGGCGGAAUUCCCGGUGUAGCAGUGAAAUGCGUAGAGAUCGGGAGGAACACCCGUGGCGAAGGCGGCCACCUGGGCCAACACUGACACUGAGGCACGAAAGCGUGGGGAGCAAACA